GCACGCUUAGGCGUGUGACUGCGUACCUUUUGUAUAAUGGGUCAGCGACUUAUAUUCUGUAGCAAGGUUAACCGAAUAGGGGAGCCGAAGGGAAACCGAGUCUUAACUGGGCGUUAAGUUGCAGGGUAUAGACCCGAAACCCGGUGAUCUAGCCAUGGGCAGGUUGAAGGUUGGGUAACACUAACUGGAGGACCGAACCGACUAAUGUUGAAAAAUUAGCGGAUGACUUGUGGCUGGGGGUGAAAGGCCAAUCAAACCGGGAGAUAGCUGGUUCUCCCCGAAAGCUAUUUAGGUAGCGCCUCGUGAAUUCAUCUCCGGGGGUAGAGCACUGUUUCGGCAAGGGGGUCAUCCCGACUUACCAACCCGAUGCAAACUGCGAAUACCGGAGAAUGUUAUCACGGGAGACACACGGCGGGUGCUAACGUCCGUCGUGAAGAGGGAAACAACCCAGACCGCCAGCUAAGGUCCCAAAGUCAUGGUUAAGUGGGAAACGAUGUGGGAAGGCCCAGACAGCCAGGAUGUUGGCUUAGAAGCAGCCAUCAUUUAAAGAAAGCGUAAUAGCUCACUGGUCGAGUCGGCCUGCGCGGAAGAUGUAACGGGGCUAAACCAUGCACCGAAGCUGCGGCAGCGACGCUGAUGCGUUGUUGGGUA
rnacentral:rRNA from 11 species